UACAGAGGUCUCAAGCGUUGUUCGGAUUCAUUGGGCGUAAAGGGUGCGUAGGCGGCGCGGUAAGUCGGGUGUGAAAUCUCGGAGCUUAACUCCGAAACUGCAUUCGAUACUGCCGUGCUUGAGGACUGGAGAGGAGACUGGAAUUCAUGGUGUAGCAGUGAAAUGCGUAGAGAUCAUGAGGAAGACCAGUGGCGAAGGCGGGUCUCUGGACAGUUCCUGACACUGAGACACGAAGGCCAGUGGAGCAAACGGG
rnacentral:rRNA from 1 species